UGGCCAAGAGAAAAAUCUUGGUUGAUUUCAAGAACAGUGACAGUCCUCAGGCAGCCGUCUAGUGAACGCUGACAGUAUUUUUUAGCUGUGUAUUAGAAAUGUUUGUUUAGGCAAAAUUCCGCUGAAGAGAGAGAACCGAGGGAAAGAUCAGCCUGGUCAAGAGGAUCGCCGACCAAAGGAACUGUUGGAGGUGGUGGUGAUUUAUUUACAAGAGGAUCGCCGACAAAAGAACUGAAAUGGUGAAGAUCGACGUUGAAAUGUAAUAUCAUCAAGCCGGGACGGCAGCGGUUACAGAUUUCUCUAAAUUGUGGUUGCAUUUUUUUUUUACCAAAGCUGUGAAAAGUACUUUUUUAAUGCAAUAAAAUUUAUCAAAUAGC